rnacentral:rRNA from 1 species
GUAAUACGGAGGAUGCGAGCGUUAUCCGGAUUUAUUGGGUUUUAAAGGGUGCGUAGGUGGGCUGUUAAGUCAGUGGUGAAAGUUUUGUCGCUCAACGAUAAAAUCGCCGUUGAAACUGGUGGUCUUGAGUAUGGAUGAAGUAGGUGGAAUGCGUGGUGUAGCGGUGAAAUGCAUAGAGAUCACGCAGAACUCCGAUUGCGAAGGCAGCUUACUAAGGCAUAACUGACACUGAAGCACGAAAGCGUGGGUAUCAAACAGGAUUAGAUACCCUGGUAGUCCACGCAGUAAACGAUGAUUACUAGGAGUUUGCGAUAUAUUGUAAGCUCUACAGCGAAAGCGUUAAGUAAUCCACCUGGGGAGUACGCCGGCAACGGUGAAACUCAAAGGAAUUGACGGGGGCCCGCACAAG